rnacentral:rRNA from 1 species
CUGUGAACAUACCAAUUGUUGCCUCGGCGGAUCAGCCCGCUCCCGGUANAACGGGACGGCCCGCCAGAGGACCCCUAAACUCUGUUUCUAUAUGUAACUUCUGAGUAAAACCAUAAAUAAAUCAAAACUUUCAACAACGGAUCUCUUGGUUCUGGCAUCGAUGAAGAACGCAGCAAAAUGCGAUAAGUAAUGUGAAUUGCAGAAUUCAGUGAAUCAUCGAAUCUUUGAACGCACAUUGCGCCCGCCAGUAUUCUGGCGGGCAUGCCUGUUCGAGCGUCAUUUCAACCCUCAAGCUCAGCUUGGUGUUGGGACUCGCGAGUCAAAUCGCGUUCCCCAAAUUGAUUGGCGGUCACGUCGAGCUUCCAUAGCGUAGUAGUAAAACCCUCGUUACUGGUAAUCGUCGCGGCCACGCCGUUAAACCCCAACUUCUGAAUGUUGACCUCGGAUCAGGUAGGAAUACCCGCUGAACUUAA